AGCUCAAAUUUGAAAUCUGGCUCUUUUGGAGUCCGAGUUGUAAUUUAGAGAAGUGUUAUCUGUGCUGGACCGUGUACAAGUCUCCUGGAAUGGAGCGUCAUAGAGGGUGAGAAUCCCGUCUUUGACACGGACUGCCAGUGCAUUGUGAUGCGCUCUCAAA
rnacentral:rRNA from 1 species